GACGAACGCUGGCGGCGUGCUUAACACAUGCAAGUCGAACGAAGAGCGACGGAAGCUUGCUUCUUUCAAUCUUAGUGGCGCACGGGUGAGUAACGCGUAAUCAACCUGCCCUUCAGAGGGGGACAACAGUUGGAAACGACUGCUAAUACCGUAUACGAUCUAACCUCGGCAUCGAGGAUAGAUGAAUGGUGGUCCCUACAUGUAAGCUAACACUGCAGGGGGGGAGUGCGUUUGAUUAGCUAGUUGGUGGGGUAACGGCUCACCAAGGCGAUGAUGAGUAGCCGAUCUGAGAGGAUGAACGGCCACAUUGGGACUGAGACACGGCCCAGACUCCUACGGGAGGCAGCAGUGGGGAAUCUUCCGCAAUGGACGAAAGUCUGACGGAGCAACGCCGCGUGAGUGAUGACGGCCGUCGGGUUGUAAAGCUCUGUUAAUCGGGACGAAAGGCCUUCUUGCGAAUAGGGAGAAGGAUUGACGGUACCGGAAUAGAAAGCCACGGCUAACUACGUG
rnacentral:rRNA from 1 species